ACAUUUUAUGUUCUUUAGAAUAUAAGUUUAUAUUUAAUAAAUUUUGAUGUUCAAUACAUAUCAUUCUAAACUAAUUAAUGUCAAGGUUUGUUACUCAUUACAUGUUUGAUUGAUUUAUAUAAUCGAGGAUGUACUUAAUAGAAAUAUUUAGCUUACAUUAUUUAAUAGAAAUCUCUGGUUCAUAAUCACUUUAUGAUUGUAUAAACAAAAUACAAAUGGUAAAUAAAUAUGUACUACUGAAAAAUUGUCAUGUUCUCCUUUUUUUCUAUCUUUUAUGAGUAGUUUUCUUUCUUAUCUAUCAAAUGUACAAAUCAAGUGAUUUCUGAUAUAGGUUGAUCUUUUGAUAGUUACACAUCUCUAACUCUCUCAUUUUGUCAAUCUAUUCAUCUGUGUUUCUUCUUAUUUUCAAUUUUAUUCUUGCGUCACCCAUGAUUAUGUUAGGGUUUUCGUAUUAUUUUGAUGAGAUUUAGAUGGUUGUUAGGAUUAUAAGGAUCUCGAAAUAAUAAAGAUGGUGCUAAUGUAACACUGGAAAAAUGAUUGAGUUGGUUUCCUUUAUAACAUACGGUCACAUUUUCAUUUUCUUGUAAUUAUUCUAUUUUCAUUUUUUCUUUUUCAUUUUCUUGUAAUUAUUCUUUUUUCUUUUUUUCUUUUUCAUUUUCUACUUAUAAUUAGUAUUUUAGCAUAUUUUUUAAUCUACAUAACUUAUGUUAAUUGUUUAAUUAUCAGAAUAUAGAAGAUGACAUUUUAUGUUCUUUAGGAUAUAAGUAUAUAUUUAAUAAAUUUUGAUGUUCAAUACAUAUCUUUCUAAACUAAUUAAUGUCAAGGUUUGUUACUCAUUACAUGUUUGAUUGAUUUAUAUAAUUGAGGUUGUACUUAAUAUAAAUAUUUACUUUACAAUACUUAAUAGAAAACUCUGGUUCAUAAUCACUUUAUGAUUGUAUAAACAAAAUAAAAAGGGUAAAAAAAUACGUACUGCUGAAAAAUUGUCAUAUUUUCCUUUUUUUUCUAUCUUUUAUGAGUAAUUUUCUUUCUUAUCUAUCAAAUGUACAAAUCAAGUGAUUUCUGAUAUAGGUUGAUCUUUUGAUGGUUACACAUCUCUAACUCUCUCAUUUUGUCAAUCCAUUCAUCUGUGUUUCCUCUUAUUUUAAAUUUUAUUCUUGCAUCACCAAUGAUUAUGAUAGGGUUUUUCGUAUUGUUUUGAUGAGAUUGAGAUGUUUGUUAGGAUUAUGAGGAUCUCACAAUAAUAAAGGUGGUGCUAAUGUAACACUGGAAACAUGAUUGAGUUGGUUUCCUUUAUAACAUACGGUCUCAUUUUCAUUUUCUUGUAAUUAUUCUAUUUUCUUUUUUUCUUUUUCAUUUUCUUGUAAUUAUUCUUUUUUCUUUAUUCCUUUUUCAUUUUUUACAUAUAAUUAGUAUUUUUGCAUAUUUUAAUCCAUAUAACUUAUGUUAAUUGUUUAAUUAUCAGAAUAUAGAAGAU
rnacentral:lncRNA from 1 species